rnacentral:lncRNA from 1 species
CUGAGCUGGGGGAGGUCAGUAAAUUCGUAUUUCCCAGGUGACGCUGAUGCACUUGGUUUCAGCGCCAUACUUUGAGAAGUGAGGCUGAAAAGGAUGGGUAUGGACUUGGAUCCGGAGGUCUGGAGGAGAAAUUGGAUUCAACGGGCUUGAGGGGCCAUCUUCCUUGGAGGUGCUGCACAGAGUCAGCCGGUGAGGCAGGUGACCAGGCUUGGAGCUCCAUGUGACCUUCGAAACACAGGCCAAGCCAGGAGAUAGCCCACAGAGGAACACACAUGACCAUCGUGUGAAGACCUCACCCCCAGGAUGGCUUUACUGCAGUCUUGCAGGCAUUGCUUGCAAGUCACUUUGGAUCUCACUUUGUUCUGGAGUCUCUCCAUGCAUUUUUUGUUCGUGUGUACUGUGGAACCCUUAUGAACAAACAGCAGGGAGAUUUUACCAGGAACUGGAGCUGGUAUCUUCUUUUCUAGUGCCCAUAAGCCCUGUCACUGUUGAGCUGGGACCACC